rnacentral:rRNA from 1 species
GACGAACGCUGGCGGCGUGCUUAACACAUGCAAGUCGAGCGGACCCUUCGGGGUUAGCGGCGAACGGGUGAGUAACACGUGAGCAAUCUGCCUCUGGCUUCGGGAUAAGCCCGGGAAACCGGGUCUAAUACCGGAUAUGACUUCCUGCCGCAUGGUGGGGGGUGGAAAGAUUUAUCGGCCUGAGAUGAGCUCGCGGCCUAUCAGCUUGUUGGUGGGGUAGUGGCCUACCAAGGCGACGACGGGUAGCCGGCCUGAGAGGGUGGACGGCCACACUGGGACUGAGACACGGCCCAGACUCCUACGGGAGGCAGCAGUGGGGAAUCUUGCGCAAUGGGCGAAAGCCUGACGCAGCGACGCCGCGUGGGGGAUGACGGCCUUCGGGUUGUAAACCUCUUUCAGCAGGGAAGAAGCCGUAAGGUGACGGUACCUGCAGAAGAAGCACCGGCUAACUACGUGCCAGCCGCCGCAGUAAAAC